rnacentral:rRNA from 1 species
GGAUAUUGGACAAUGGGGGGAACCCUGAUCCAGCCAUGCCGCGUGUGUGAAGAAGGCCUUUUGGUUGUAAAGCACUUUAAGCGAGGAGGAGGCUACUCUAGUUAAUACCUAGAGAUAGUGGACGUUACUCGCAGAAUAAGCACCGGCUAGCUCUGUGCGAGACGCCGCGGUAAUACAUAGGGUGCAAGCGUUAAUCGGAUUUACUGGGCGUAAAGCGCGCGUGGGUGGCCAAUUAAGUCAAAUGUGAAAUCCCCGAGCUUAACUUGGGAAUUGCAUUCGAUACUGGUUGGCUAGAGUAUGGGAGAGGAUGGUAGAAUUCCAGGUGUAGCGGUGAAAUGCGUAGAGAUCUGGAGGAAUACCGAUGGCGAAGGCAGCCAUCUGGCCUAAUACUGACACUGCGGUGCGAAAGCAUGGGGAGCAAAC